UGGGGAAUAUUGGACAAUGGGCGCAAGCCUGAUCCAGCCAUGCCGCGUGUGUGAAGAAGGCCUUUUGGUUGUAAAGCACUUUAAGCGAGGAGGAGGCUACUUGGAUUAAUACUCUAGGAUAGUGGACGUUACUCGCAGAAUAAGCACCGGCUAACUCUGUGCCAGCAGCCGCGGUAAUACAGAGGGUGCGAGCGUUAAUCGGAUUUACUGGGCGUAAAGCGUGCGUAGGCGGCUUUUUAAGUCGGAUGUGAAAUCCCUGAGCUUAACUUAGGAAUUGCAUUCGAUACUGGGGAGCUAGAGUAUGGGAGAGGAUGGUAGAAUUCCAGGUGUAGCGGUGAAAUGCGUAGAGAUCUGGAGGAAUACCGAUGGCGAAGGCAGCCAUCUGGCCUAAUACUGACGCUGAGGUACGAAAGCAUGGGGAGCAAACAGG
rnacentral:rRNA from 1 species